rnacentral:rRNA from 1 species
UGGGGAAUUUUGGACAAUGGGGGAAACCCUGAUCCAGCCAUCCCGCGUGUGCGAUGAAGGCCUUCGGGUUGUAAAGCACUUUUGGCAGGAAAGAAACGUCAUGGGUUAAUACCCCGUGAAACUGACGGUACCUGCAGAAUAAGCACCGGCUAACUACGUGCCAGCAGCUGCGGUAAUACGUAGGGUGCAAGCGUUAAUCGGAAUUACUGGGCGUAAAGCGUGUGCAGGCGGUUCGGAAAGAAAGAAUUGAAAUCCCAGAGCUCAACUUUGGAACUGCAUUUUUAACUACCCGGCUUGAGUGUGUUCGAGGUAGGUGGAAUGCCGCGUGUAGCAGUGAAAUGCGUAGAUAUGAGGAGGAACACCGAUGGCGAAGGCAGCCUCCUGGGAUAACACUGACGCUCAUGCACGAAAGCGUGGGGAGCAAACAGG